rnacentral:tRNA from 1 species
GCCCGGGUGGCGGAAUGGCAGACGCGGAGGUCUCAAAAACCUCUAUGGGAAACCAUGUGUGGGUUCGAAUCCCACCCCGGGCACCA